rnacentral:rRNA from 1 species
AGUGAACGCUGGCGGUAGGCCUAACACAUGCAAGUCGAACGGCAGCACAGUAAGAGCUUGCUCUUACGGGUGGCGAGUGGCGGACGGGUGAGGAAUACAUCGGAAUCUACUUUUUCGUGGGGGAUAACGUAGGGAAACUUACGCUAAUACCGCAUACGACCUACGGGUGAAAGCAGGGGAUCUUCGGACCUUGCGCGAUUGAAUGAGCCGAUGUCGGAUUAGCUAGUUGGCGGGGUAAAGGCCCACCAAGGCGACGAUCCGUAGCUGGUCUGAGAGGAUGAUCAGCCACACUGGAACUGAGACACGGUCCAGACGCCUACGGGAGGCAGCAGUGGGGAAUAUUGGACAAUGGGCGCAAGCCUGAUCCAGCCAUACCGCGUGGGUGAAGAAGGCCUUCGGGUUGUAAAGCCCUUUUGUUGGGAAAGAAAAGCAGCAGGUUAAUACCCCGCUGUUCUGACGGUACCCAAAGAAUAGGCACCGGCUAACUUCGUG